ACCCAUCCAUGCAAUGGUGGCUCACUUGGAUGCUGUUACUAGUCUGGCUAUAGAUCCAAAUGGCAUCUACUUGAUGUCAGGAAGUCAUGAUAGUUCCAUCCGCUUGUGGAACAUGGACAGUAAGACGUGCGUACAGGAGGUUACCGCACACAGGAAAAAGUCAGACGAGGCCAUAUACGAUGUUGCCUUCCACCCAUCUAAGGCAUACAUAGGAAGUGCCGGAGCUGAUGCCCUGGCCAAAGUGUUUGUAUAAAAGAACGUCCGAAUGAAUGCAUACGUGAAGACGAGAAAGAAAGGACUGCUUCACUGCCUUGUGUAACAAGAGUAGCAUUUCUCACACUACACUGAAGUGGCUUCCACCUUCGCUGUCAAACUCACACCACACACACAACAUUACCAGGUGCCAAGAGGGGGGCGUGCCGUGUUUUUGCGAAGCCAGUGUGGAGUGCUCAAUCAGUUUUAAUCUUUUUUUUUCUUCUCAAAAAAAA